rnacentral:tRNA from 1 species
GGAGAGCUGGCAGAGUGGUCUAUUGCGGCCGGUUGGAAAUCGGCUAAAGGCGCGAGUCUUUCGAGGGUUCGAAUCCCUCGCUCUCCUCCA